rnacentral:rRNA from 1 species
AGCGAACGCUGGCGGCGUGCCUAACACAUGCAAGUCGAACGUGAAAGGGGCGAACCCUCGAGUAAAGUAGGCGUACGGGUGAGUAACGCGUAGGUAAUCUACCUUAGAGUUUGGUAAUAACCUGCCGAAAGGCGGGCUAAUACUGGAUAGAGCGAGAGAUUCGUAGAUGAAUUUUCGGGUAAAGGGAGCUUGUAAGAGCCCUCGCUUUAAGAUGAGCCUGCGUCCCAUCAGCUAGUUGGUAAGGUAAUGGCUUACCAAGGCAAUGACGGGUAGCUGGUCUGAGAGGAUGAUCAGCCACACUGGAACUGAAACACGGUCCAGACUCCUACGGGAGGCAGCAGUGGGGGAAUCUUGCGCAAUGGACGAAAGUCUGACGCAGCCACGCCGCGUGAGUGAAGAAGGCCUCGGUUGU